rnacentral:rRNA from 1 species
GACGGGGGGUCCAAGCGUUGUUCGGAAUCAUUGGGCGUAAAGCGGGCGUAGGUGGCCAUGUAAGUCAGGAGUGAAAGCCCUGGGCUCAACCCAGGAAGUGCUCUUGAUACUGCAUGGCUUGAAUGUGGGAGAGGGUAGUGGAAUUCCAGGUGUAGUGGUGAAAUACGUAGAUAUCUGGAGGAACGCCGGUGGCGAAGGCGGCUACCUGGCCCAACAUUGACACUGAGGCCCGAAAGCGUGGGGAUCAAACAGG